CCACACAACGUUUCAUUCGUUUCUUCCAUUGCUCGAGGCAGUGCUGGAAGUCUAUUUUCGUAAGACCAUUCAGGAGUUCCGCCGACUUUUGUUUCACCUCUUCCAUCGACUCAAACCGGAUUCCUUUUAAGGCAGACUUUAUCUUCGGAAACAAGUAAAAGUCGCAGGGUGCCAAGUCGGGUAAGACGCGUGUUCGAGUACUGGAGUGCCUUAAGCGGCC